ACUUCCAGAGCCGGAACGAAAAGUUGUUUGAAAUUUGUGUGAGAGAUCGCGGAAUUUUCGAAAACUUUUGGCUAGUGGUCGUGAUGUUGUGUUUGCAAUUGAUCUGACACUUUUCAGAUCUGGUAGCUUAGCUGCCCUUUUAAUUCCUGUAGAUUUAUCCUGUCUGUCCAUAGUGAUUUAGUAGCACCGCAAAUUGCGGUGCUUUUUUUU
rnacentral:other from 1 species